rnacentral:rRNA from 1 species
AGGACGAACGCUGGCGGCGUGCUUAACACAUGCAAGUCGAGCGGAAAGGCCCUUCGGGGUACUCGAGCGGCGAACGGGUGAGUAACACGUGAGCAACCUGCCCCUGGCUCUGGGAUAGCCUCCGGAAACGGGGAUUAAUACCGGAUAUUCACUUCUCCCUGCAUGGGGGGGUGGUGGAAAGUUUUCGGCUAGGGCGGGCUCGCGGCCUAUCAGCUUGUUGGGGGGUGACGGCCCACCAAGGCGACGACGGGUAG